GGUCCGCUAGCUCAGUUGGUAGAGCACAUCACUUUUAAUGAUGUUGUCCCGAGUUCGAGCCUCGGGCGGAUCACCA
rnacentral:tRNA from 1 species